rnacentral:tRNA from 1 species
GUUUUAAUAGUUUAAGAAAAUAAUGAUCUUGUAAAUCAUAGAUAGCUGAAAGCUUUAAAACU